rnacentral:rasiRNA from 1 species
UACUCCGGUUCCGUCACGUAGAGUC